rnacentral:rRNA from 1 species
UACGAAGGGGGCUAGCGUUGCUCGGAAUGACUGGGCGUAAAGGGCGCGUAGGCGGUUUGUACAGUCAGGUGUGAAAUUCCCGGGCUCAACCUGGGGGUUGCACUUGAUACGUAGGAACUGGAGUGGGGAAGAGGGUCGUGGAAUUCCCAGUGUAGAGGUGAAAUUCGUAGAUAUUGGGAAGAACACCGGUGGCGAAGGCGGCGACCUGGUCCUUGACUGACGCUGAGGCGCGAAAGCGUGGGGAGCAAACAGG